UGCUGAUGUGGCUGACCGGCCAGCACGAUGUGGUCUUCGGCACUGCGGUUUCGGGCCGGCCGACCGAUUUGGCCGGGUCCGAGGCCAUGAUCGGCCU
rnacentral:tRNA from 1 species